GUGUCAGCCGCCGCGGUAAUACGUAGGCAGCGAGCGUUGUUCGGAGUUACUGGGCGUAAAGCGUGCGUAGGCGGUGGCCCAAGUCUGGUGUGAAAUCUCCCGGCUCAACCGGGAGGGUGCGCCGGAAACUGGGUCGCUCGAGUACUGGAGAGGCAAGCGGAAUUCCUGGUGUAGCGGUGAAAUGCGUAGAUAUCAGGAGGAACACCCGUGGUGUAGACGGCUUGCUGGACAGUCACUGACGCUGAGGCACGAAAGCGUGGGGAGCAAACAGGAUUAGAAACCCCCGUAGUCC
rnacentral:rRNA from 1 species